rnacentral:rRNA from 1 species
GAUGAACGCUGGCGGCGUGCCUAAUACAUGCAAGUCGAGCGAACAGACGAGGAGCUUGCUCCUCUGACGUUAGCGGCGGACGGGUGAGUAACACGUGGAUAACCUACCUAUAAGACUGGGAUAACUUCGGGAAACCGGAGCUACUACCGGAUAAUAUAUUGAACCGCAUGGUUCAAUAGUGAAAGACGGUUUUGCUGUCACUUUUAGAUGGAUCCGCGCCGCAUUAGCUAGUUGGUAAGGUAACGGCUUACCAAGGCGACGAUGCGUAGCCGACCUGAGAGGGUGAUCGGCCACACUGGAACUGAGACACGGUCCAGACUCCUACGGGAGGCAGCAGUAGGGAAUCUUGCGCAAUGGGCGAAAGCCUGACGGAGCAACGCCGCGUGAGUGAUGAAGGUCUUCGGAUCGUAAAACUCUGUUAUUAGGGAAGAACAAAUGUGUAAGUAACUAUGCACGUCUUGACGGUACCUAAUCAGAAAGCCACGGCUAACUACGUG